rnacentral:rRNA from 1 species
GGUUAAGCGACUAAGCGUACACGGUGGAUGCCCUGGCAGUCAGAGGCGAUGAAGGACGUGCUAAUCUGCGAAAAGCGUCGGUAAGGUGAUAUGAACCGUUAUAACCGGCGAUGUCCGAAUGGGGAAACCCAGUGUGAUUCGUCACACUAUCGUUAACUGAAUACAUAGGUUAACGAGGCGAACCGGGGGAACUGAAACAUCUAAGUACCCCGAGGAAAAGAAAUCAACCGAGAUUCCCCCAGUAGCGGCGAGCGAACGGGGAGCAGCCCAGAGUCUGAAUCAGCUUGUGUGUUAGUGGAACGGUCUGGAAAGUCCGACGGUACAGGGUGAUAGUCCCGUACACCAAAAUGCACAGGUUGUGAACUCGAAGAGUAGGGCGGGACACGUGGUAUCCUGUCUGAAUAUGGGGGGACCAUCCUCCAAGGCUAAAUACUCCUGACUGACCGAUAGUGAACCAGUACCGUGAGGGAAAGGCGAAAAGAACCCCGGCGAGGGGAGUGAAAAAGAACCUGAAACCGUGUACGUACAAGCAGUGGGAGCACCUUCGGGUGUGACUGCGUACCUUUUGUAUAAUGGGUCAGCGACUUAUAUUCUGUAGCAAGGUUAACCGUAUAGGGGAGCCGCAGGGAAACCGAGUCUUAACUGGGCGUUAAGUUGCAGGGUAUAGACCCGAAACCCGGUGAUCUAGCCAUGGGCAGGUUGAAGGUUGGGUAACACUAACUGGAGGACCGAACCGACUAAUGUUGAAAAAUUAGCGGAUGACUUGUGGCUGGGGGUGAAAGGCCAAUCAAACCGGGAGAUAGCUGGUUCUCCCCGAAAGCUAUUUAGGUAGCGCCUCGUGAACUCAUCUUCGGGGGUAGAGCACUGUUUCGGCUAGGGGGUCAUCCCGACUUACCAACCCGAUGCAAACUACGAAUACCGAAGAAUGUUAUCACGGGAGACACACGGCGGGUGCUAACGUCCGUCGUGAAGAGGGAAACAACCCAGACCGCCAGCUAAGGUCCCAAAGUCAUGGUUAAGUGGGAAACGAUGUGGGAAGGCACAGACAGCCAGGAUGUUGGCUUAGAAGCAGCCAUCAUUUAAAGAAAGCGUAAUAGCUCACUGGUCGAGUCGGCCUGCGCGGAAGAUGUAACGGGGCUAAACCAUGCACCGAAGCUGCGGCAGCGACACUAUGUGUUGUUGGGUAGGGGAGCGUUCUGUAAGCCUGCGAAGGUGACCUGUGAGGGUUGCUGGAGGUAUCAGAAGUGCGAAUGCUGACAUAAGUAACGAUAAAGCGGGUGAAAAGCCCGCUCGCCGGAAGACCAAGGGUUCCUGUCCAACGUUAAUCGGGGCAGGGUGAGUCGACCCCUAAGGCGAGGCCGAAAGGCGUAGUCGAUGGGAAACAGGUUAAUAUUCCUGUACUUGGUGUUACUGCGAAGGGGGGACGGAGAAGGCUAUGUUAGCCGGGCGACGGUUGUCCCGGUUUAAGCAUGUAGGCUGGUUGUCCAGGCAAAUCCGGAUAAUCAAGGCUGAGGUGUGAUGACGAGGCACUACGGUGCUGAAGUAACAAAUGCCCUGCUUCCAGGAAAAGCCUCUAAGCAUCAGGUAACAUUAAAUCGUACCCCAAACCGACACAGGUGGUCAGGUAGAGAAUACCAAGGCGCUUGAGAGAACUCGGGUGAAGGAACUAGGCAAAAUGGUGCCGUAACUUCGGGAGAAGGCACGCUGGUGUGUAGGUGAAGUCCCUGCGGAUGGAGCUGAGACCAGUCGAAGAUACCAGCUGGCUGCAACUGUUUAUUAAAAACACAGCACUGUGCAAACACGAAAGUGGACGUAUACGGUGUGACGCCUGCCCGGUGCCGGAAGGUUAAUUGAUGGGGUUAUCCGUAAGGAGAAGCUCUUGAUCGAAGCCCCGGUAAACGGCGGCCGUAACUAUAACGGUCCUAAGGUAGCGAAAUUCCUUGUCGGGUAAGUUCCGACCUGCACGAAUGGCGUAAUGAUGGCCAGGCUGUCUCCACCCGAGACUCAGUGAAAUUGAACUCGCUGUGAAGAUGCAGUGUACCCGCGGCAAGACGGAAAGACCCCGUGAACCUUUACUAUAGCUUGACACUGAACAUUGAGCCUUGAUGUGUAGGAUAGGUGGGAGGCUUUGAAGCGUGGACGCCAGUCUGCGUGGAGCCAACCUUGAAAUACCACCCUUUAAUGUUUGAUGUUCUAACGUUGGCCCCUGACCGGGGUUGCGGACAGUGUCUGGUGGGUAGUUUGACUGGGGCGGUCUCCUCCCAAAGCGUAACGGAGGAGCACGAAGGUUAGCUAAUCCUGGUCGGACAUCAGGAGGUUAGUGCAAUGGCAUAAGCUAGCUUGACUGCGAGCGUGACGGCGCGAGCAGGUGCGAAAGCAGGUCAUAGUGAUCCGGUGGUUCUGAAUGGAAGGGCCAUCGCUCAACGGAUAAAAGGUACUCCGGGGAUAACAGGCUGAUACCGCCCAAGAGUUCAUAUCGACGGCGGUGUUUGGCACCUCGAUGUCGGCUCAUCACAUCCUGGGGCUGAAGUAGGUCCCAAGGGUAUGGCUGUUCGCCAUUUAAAGUGGUACGCGAGCUGGGUUUAGAACGUCGUGAGACAGUUCGGUCCCUAUCUGCCGUGGGCGCUGGAGAAUUGAGGGGGGCUGCUCCUAGUACGAGAGGACCGGAGUGGACGCAUCACUGGUGUUCGGGUUGUCAUGCCAAUGGCACUGCCCGGUAGCUAAAUGCGGAAGAGAUAAGUGCUGAAAGCAUCUAAGCACGAAACUUGCCCCGAGAUGAGUUCUCCCUGAGACUUUAAGUCUCCUGAAGGAACGUU